rnacentral:rRNA from 1 species
UGCCCAGACUCCUACGGGAGGCAGCAGUGGGGAAUAUUGCACAAUGGGGGAAACCCUGAUGCAGCGACGCCGCGUGAGUGAAGAAGAAUUUCGGUAUGUAAAGCUCUAUCAGCAGGGAAGAAAAUGACGGUACCUGACUAAGAAGCCCCGGCUAACUACGUGCCAGCAGCCGCGGUAAUACGUAGGGGGCAAGCGUUAUCCGGAUUUACUGGGUGUAAAGGGAGCGUAGACGGCAUGGCAAGUCAGAUGUGAAAGCCCGGGGCUCAACCCCGGGACUGCAUUUGAAACUGUCAGGCUGGAGUGCAGGAGAGGUAAGUGGAAUUCCUAGUGUAGCGGUGAAAUGCGUAGAUAUUAGGAGGAACACCAGUGGCGAAGGCGGCUUGCUGGACCGUAACUGACGUUGAGGCUCGAAAGCGUGGGGAGCAAACAGGAUUAGAUACCCUAGUACG